rnacentral:rRNA from 1 species
AUACGUAGGGGGCGAGCGUUGUCCGGAAUGAUUGGGCGUAAAGGGCGCGUAGGCGGCGCGGUAAGUCUGGAGUGAAAGUCCUGCUUUCAAGGUGGGAAUUGCUUUGGAUACUGCCGCGCUUGAGUGCAGGAGAGGUUAUCGGAAUUCCCGGUGUAGCGGUGAAAUGCGUAGAGAUCGGGAGGAACACCAGUGGCGAAGGCGGGUAACUGGACUGCAACUGACGCUGAGGCGCGAAAGUGUGGGGAGCAAACAGGAUUAGAUACCCUGGUAGUCCACACUGUAAACGAUGAAUGCUAGGUGUAAGAGGUAUCGACCCCUUUUGUGCCGGAGUCGACACAAUAAGCAUUCCGCCUGGGGAGUACGGCCGCAAGGUUGAAACUCAAAGGAAUUGACGGGG